rnacentral:rRNA from 1 species
CCUACGUGAGGCAGCAGUGAGGAAUAUUGGUCAAUGGUCGGGAGACUGUACCAGCCAAGCCGCGUGAGGGAGGAAGGUACAGAGUAUCGUAAACCUCUUUUGUCAGGGAACAAAGGCGGGGACGUGUCCCCGGAUGAGUGUACCUGAAGAAAAAGCAUCGGCAAACUCCGUGCCAGCAGCCGCGGUAAUAGGGAGGAUGCGAGCGUUAUCCGGAUGUAUGGGGUUUAAGGGGGGCGCAGGGGGUCCGUUAAGUCAGCGGUCAAAGCCCGGGGCCCAACCCCGGCCCGCCGUUGAAACUGGGAGUCUCGAGUUGGAGAGAGGUAUGCGGAAUGCGCGGUGUAGCAGUGAAAUGCAUAGAUAUCGCGCAGAACUCCGAUUGCGAAGGCAGCAUGCCGGCUCCACACUGACGCUGAGGCACGAAAGCGUGGGUAUCGAACAGGAUUAGAUACCCUUGUAGUC